AGAGUUUGAUCAUGGCUCAGGACGAACGCUGGCGGCGUGCCUAAUACAUGCAAGUCGAACGCAAAACUUUUAACUGAUGCUUGCAUCGACCUAAAGUUUUGAGUGGCGGACGGGUGAGUAACACGUGGGUAACCUGCCCAUCAGAGGGGGACAACACUUGGAAACAGGUGCUAAUACCGCAUAAUACAGAGAACCGCAUGGUUUUCUGUUGAAAGGCGCUUCUGGUGUCGCUGAUGGAUGGACCCGCGGUGCAUUAGCUAGACGGUGAGGUAACGGCUCACCGUGGCGAUGAUGCAUAGCCGACCUGAGAGGGUGAUCGGCCACAUUGGGACUGAGACACGGCCCAAACUCCUACGGGAGGCAGCAGUAGGGAAUCUUCGGCAAUGGACGAAAGUCUGACCGAGCAACGCCGCGUGAGUGAAGAAGGUUUUCGGAUCGUAAAACUCUGUUGUUAGAGAAGAACAGGAGCGAUAGUAACUGCUCGCUCUUUGACGGUAUCUAACCAGAAAGCCACGGCUAACUACGUGCCAGCMGCCGCGGUAAUACGUAGGUGGCAAGCGUUGUCCGGAUUUAUUGGGCGUAAAGCGAGCGCAGGCGGUCUCUUAAGUCUGAUGUGAAAGCCCACGGCUUAACCGUGGAGGGUCAUUGGAAACUGGGGGACUUGAGUGCAGAAGAGGAAAGUGGAACUCCAUGUGUAGCGGUGGAAUGCGUAGAUAUAUGGAAGAACACCAGUGGCGAAGGCGGCUUUCUGGUCUGUAACUGACGCUGAGGCUCGAAGCGUGGGGAGCAACAGGAUAGAUACCCUGGUAUCAAGGCGAUUCGUUAACCUGCAGAUAGUCCUUUAUGAGGUAUU
rnacentral:rRNA from 1 species